CGGUCCAAACUCCUACGGGAGGCAGCAGUGGGGAAUAUUGCACAAUGGGCGCAAGCCUGAUGCAGCGACGCCGCGUGAGGGAUGACGGCCUUCGGGUUGUAAACCUCUUUCGACAGGGACGAAGCUUUGGUGACGGUACCUGUAUAAGAAGCACCGGCUAACUACGUGCCAGCAGCCGCGGUAAUACGUAGGGUGCAAGCGUUAAUCGGAAUUACUGGGCGUAAAG
rnacentral:rRNA from 14 species